CAGUAGCCACGGGAAUACGUAGGGUGCAAGCGUUAAUCGGAAUUACUGGGCGUAAAGCGUGCGCAGGCGGUUUGUUAAGACAGAUGUGAAAUCCCCGGGCUCAACCUGGGAACUGCAUUUGUGACUGGCAGGCUAGAGUAUGGCAGAGGGGGGUGGAAUUCCGCGUGUAGCAGUGAAAUGCGUAGAGAUCGGAAGGAACAUCUGUGGCGAAGGCGACUAUCUGGGCCAACACUGACACUGAGGCACGAAAGCGUGGGGAGCAAACAGGAUUAGAUACCCCCGUAGUCCCUGUCUCUUAUAU
rnacentral:rRNA from 1 species